UAUUAACCAAGUCAAUAGAAAUGUGUGAAGAACACUAAAAUCUGGCCUAGAAGACUUUUAUGCUUUUCUUGUAGAAGUGGCUAAAGUUUCUUUCCCCUUUCAUUGUUUAAAUUAAUAAUUAAAGAAAACAAAAUGCUGAAAUGUAUGAAGGGUUGACAGGGGAGUCAAACUGAAGUGUGAAGAUGAUGGUGGCAAUCCUGCCCUAUUGGAUAUGAACCAUUUUUGCUCUUUUGAGAUGCUGAAAUAAAACCAUAAAUGGGUUAAGCAGCUUACUAAUCAUCACGACCAGAGGAACAUGAAAUAGAAGACAGAAUUAUUAAAAUUCUGACAACAUUGUCUAUUCAGUCAGAAACUGUCAGCAGAGGAAGGAGAAUAUGAACUAUUCCAACUGAUUAAUUGCCAUAAACUUCAG
rnacentral:lncRNA from 1 species